rnacentral:lncRNA from 1 species
UGUGGAUACUCAAAAGCAUGUCAUGAAAAAUAAAAAAUCUUUCUAAAAGAAAUUUUUUUCCUCCUAUGUUCUACCUACGAGAUCCCCUUUAUUUUUUUUUCUUCAAUUUUUGAUAAAUUUUGCUUGAGAGAAAAGAAGAAAAAAAAUCUCUACAUAGCAAAGGUUUUUAUCUUUUUAGAUUUUUUUUCUUUUUUCCUUCUCACGUAUUAACUACAUGGAGAUAUCU